UACGUAGGGUCCGAGCGUUGUCCGGAAUUACUGGGCGUAAAGAGCUCGUAGGUGGUUUGUCACGUUGUUCGUGAAAACUCACAGCUUAACUGUGGGCGUGCGGGCGAUACGGGCAGACUAGAGUACUGCAGGGGAGACUGGAAUUCCUGGUGUAGCGGUGGAAUGCGCAGAUAUCAGGAGGAACACCGGUGGCGAAGGCGGGUCUCUGGGCAGUAACUGACGCUGAGGAGCGAAAGCGUGGGGAGCGAACAGG
rnacentral:rRNA from 1 species